UGGGGAAUAUUGCACAAUGGGCGCAAGCCUGAUGCAGCCAUGCCGCGUGUGUGAAGAAGGCCUUCGGGUUGUAAAGCACUUUCAGCGAGGAGGAAGGUGGUGAGCUUAAUACGCUCAUCAAUUGACGUUACUCGCAGAAGAAGCACCGGCUAACUCCGUGCCAGCAGCCGCGGUAAUACGGAGGGUGCAAGCGUUAAUCGGAAUUACUGGGCGUAAAGCGCACGCAGGCGGUUUGUUAAGUCAGAUGUGAAAUCCCCGGGCUCAACCUGGGAACUGCAUUUGAAACUGGCAAGCUAGAGCCUCGUAGAGGGGGGUAGAAUUCCAGGUGUAGCGGUGAAAUGCGUAGAGAUCUGGAGGAAUACCGGUGGCGAAGGCGGCCCCCCUGGACGAAGACUGACGCUCAGGUGCGAAAGCGUGGGGCAGCAAACAGGAUUAGAUACCCUGGUAGUCCAGCGCUGUAAACGAUGUCGAUUUGGAGGUUGUGCCCUUGAGGCGUGGCUCCCGGAGCUAACGCGUUAAAUCGACCGCCUGGGGAGUACGGCCGCAAGGUUAAAACUCAAAGGAAUUGACGGGGUCU
rnacentral:rRNA from 1 species